ACACCAGAGACGAAGCCAUCGAGUCCGGAGCCAGAGACAACGCACUCACCCAGGCACGAUGAAAGCACAGAGUCACCCACG